GACGAACGCUGGCGGCGUGCCUAACACAUGCAAGUCGAGCGAAUGAAGUUCCUUCGGGAACGGAUUUAGCGGCGGACGGGUGAGUAACACGUGGGCAACCUGCCUCAUAGAGGGGAAUAGCCUUCCGAAAGGAAGAUUAAUACCGCAUAAGAUUGUAGCUUCGCAUGAAGCAGCAAUUAAAGGAGCAAUCCGCUAUGAGAUGGGCCCGCGGCGCAUUAGCUAGUUGGUGAGGUAACGGCUAACCAAGGCGACGAUGCGGAGCCGACCUGAGAGGGUGAUCGGCCACAUUGGGACUGAGACACGGCCCAGACUCCUACGGGAGGCAGCAGUGGGGAAUAUUGCACAAUGGGGGAAACCCUGAUGCAGCAACGCCGCGUGAGUGAUGACGGUCUUCGGAUUGUAAAGCUCUGUCUUCAGGGACGAUAAUGACGGUACCUGAGGAGGAAGCCACGGCUAACUACGUGCCAGCCGCCGCAGUAAAAC
rnacentral:rRNA from 1 species